GUUCACCAUGUAAGAACUUAUUCACUAUGUAAGAAUUUGUUCUCCAUGUAAGAACUUGUUUGUUAUGCCUCAGAAGAUUGGUGACUGACGAAAAUUAGGCUUGGGGUGGAUUAAUGAUUGUGCAUUGAGCAUUAACUCCCCUAUACAGAAUUUUAUUGUUGUUAACAACCAUUUGAUCAAUAAAUAUGAGAGAUGCCCUCACACACACACAAAAAAAACCUUGCCAGGUGGAGACUAUCUUUUGCUCCUAAAUAUACAAGCACACUCACUGUUUUUUAUGAAGUUCAAAAAGAAAAAUCAGGUUACCUUCAACUCAGACUCUGAACAGUUUAGACAAGCUGAAAAC